GUAAUGAGGAAGACAAAACAGGAAUAAAAUGCAAUAAGUAUUAUAAAUUUACAAAUUGAAGUGUUUUACAUAAUUAUUUUUUAGUUGUAUCGGCUUAUGCUAGACGUAAGGUUAGCGUUUAUUUUUUUAUUAUUUCAACAUGAUCGUACAAUUUAAACUUUGGAAAUGGGCUCUAGGAUAAGAGAAGAUCCACCCCAUGUUUUUGAGUGUUUUUGUGAAAUAUCUGUACCAACAAGUUCUUCUGAAGUAGCUUCAAUACGACAAAGCUAUCCUGAAAACUACCCUGAAGAGGUGA